rnacentral:rRNA from 1 species
CUACGGGUUGCAGCAGUGGGGAAUAUUGGACAAUGGGGGAAACCCUGAUCCAGCAAUGCCGCGUGUGUGAAGAAGGCCUGCGGGUUGUAAAGCACUUUCGGUUGGGAGGACUGCUUCUAGCACUAAUAUUGUUGGAAGUUGACGUUACCUUCAGAAGAAGCACCGGCUAACUCCGUGCCAGCAGCCGCGGUAAUACGGGGGGUGCAAGCGUUAAUCGGAAUUACUGGGCGUAAAGCGCGCGUAGGCGGCUAGAUCAGUCGGGUGUGAAAGCCCCGGGCUUAACCUGGGAACUGCAUCCGAUACUGUCUAGCUUGAGUACAGGAGAGGAGAGUGGAAUUCCACAUGUAGCGGUGACAUGCGUAGAUAUGUGGAGGAACACCAAUGGCGAAGGCAGCUCUCUGGCCUGAUACUGACGCUGAGGUGCGAAAGCGUGGGGAGCAAACAGGAUUAGAUACCCUAGUAGUC